rnacentral:rRNA from 1 species
AGAGUUUGAUCCUGGCUCAGAUUGAACGCUGGCGGCAUGCCUUACACAUGCAAGUCGAACGGCAGCGCGGGGGGUAACUCCUGGCGGCGAGUGGCGAACGGGUGAGUAAUAUAUCGGAACGUGCCCUGGAGUGGGGGAUAACUAGUCGAAAGAUUAGCUAAUACCGCAUACGAUCUACGGAUGAAAGUGGGGGAUUCGCAAGAACCUCAUGCUCGUGGAGCGGCCGAUAUCUGAUUAGCUAGUUGGUAGGGUAAAAGCCUACCAAGGCGACGAUCAGUAGCUGGUUUGAGAGAACGACCAGCCACACUGGGACUGAGACACGGCCCAGACUCCUACGGGAGGCAGCAGUGGGGAAUUUUGGACAAUGGGGGCAACCCUGAUCCAGCAAUGCCGCGUGUGUGAAGAAGGCCUUCGGGUU